GAUAUUUUAUUAUAGGAAAAGAGAUGUGAUUUGGAAUAGAUGUUGAAGCAGCUCCAAUGAUGUCUAUAUCUUCACUUUUUGCCAUUUUUAUUGCUCAAAGUGGUAAUAAAUUGAGUUGAUGUAUUGCAAGCAUCAACUCUCUCAAUUAUUCUUGCAUUUAUACUAUUAUACUCUUCAUUUCAAGAGCUUCUACCAUAAUAACACUUA
rnacentral:lncRNA from 1 species